rnacentral:rRNA from 1 species
UACGAAGGGGGCUAGCGUUGUUCGGAAUCACUGGGCGUAAAGGGCGCGUAGGCGGCCGAUCAAGUCGGGGGUGAAAGCCUGUGGCUUAACCACAGAAUGGCCUUCGAUACUGUUUGGCUUGAGACCGGAAGAGGUUAGUGGAACUGCGAGUGUAGAGGUGAAAUUCGUAGAUAUUCGCAAGAACACCAGUCGGCGAAGGCGGACUGGACUGGUCCGGGUUCGUGACGCUGAGGCGCGAAAGCGUGGGGAGCAAACAGG